GAUGAACGCUAGCGGCAGGCUUAAUACAUGCAAGUCGAACGGUAAGAGAUGUAGCAAUACAUUUCCUAGAGUGACGUACGGGUGCGUAACACGUAUGCAACCUACCUGUAACAGGAGUAUAGCUCGGGGAAACUCGAAUUAACCCUCAUAAGAUCGUGAAGUGGCAUCACUUAGCGCUUAAAACUGAGGUGGUUACAGAUGGGCAUGCGUCUGAUUAGUUAGNGGCGGGGUAAAGGCCCACCAAGACGAUGAUCAGUAGGGGAACUGAGAGGUUGAUCCCCCACACUGGC
rnacentral:rRNA from 1 species